rnacentral:rRNA from 1 species
AACGAACGCUGGCGGCAUGCCUAACACAUGCCAGUCGAACGAGACCUUCGGGUCUAGUGGCGCACGGGUGCGUAACGCGUGGGAACCUGCCCUUAGGUUCGGAAUAACUCCCCGAAAGGGGUGCUAAUACCGGAUAAUGUCUUCGGACCAAAGAUUUAUCGCCUUUGGAUGGGCCCGCGUUGGAUUAGCUAGUUGGUAGGGUAAAAGCCUACCAAGGCGACGAUCCAUAGCUGGUCUGAGAGGAUGAUCAGCCACACUGGGACUGAGACACGGCCCAGACUCCUACGGGAGGCAGCAGUGGGGAAUAUUGGACAAUGGGCGAAAGCCUGAUCCAGCAAUGCCGCGUGAGUGAUGAAGGCCUUAGGGUUGUAAAGCUCGUUUACCCGGGAUGAUAAUGACAGUACCGGGAGAAUAAGCGCCGGCUAACUCCGUG